rnacentral:sRNA from 12 species
AGAGCGGCAUGGUAAAGCUUGGUGACCCCUGGCCACUCGGAGAGCGGACCUAGCUGGCGUUGUAACACGCCGGGACAGAUUGAAAUCGGGGCCCAGGGUGUGCCGCUCU